CGUGCCUAACACAUGCAAGUCGAGCGAACCCUUCGGGGUGAGCGGCGGACGGGUGAGUAACGCGUGGGUAACCUGCCCUAUACACACGGAUAACGUACCGAAAGGUACGCUAAUACGAGAUAAUAUAUUUUUAUCGCAUGGUAGAAAUAUCAAAGCUCCGGCGGUAUAGGAUGGACCCGCGUCUGAUUAGCUAGUUGGUAAGGUAAUGGCUUACCAAGGCGACGAUCAGUAGCCGACCUGAGAGGGUGAUCGGCCACAUUGGAACUGAGACACGGUCCAAACUCCUACGGGAGGCAGCAGUGGGGAAUAUUGCACAAUGGGCGAAAGCCUGAUGCAGCAACGCCGCGUGAGCGAUGAAGGCCUUCGGGUCGUAAAGCUCUGUCCUCAAGGAAGAUAAUGACGGUACUUGAGGAGGAAGCCCCGGCUAACUACGUGCCAGCAGCCGCGGUAAUACGUAGGGGGCUAGCGUUAUCCGGAUUUAUUGGGUUUAAAGGGUGCGUAGGCGGACUAUUAAGUCAGCGGUUAAACUGCGGAGCUCAACUCCGUAUCGCCGUUGAAACUGGUAAUCUAGAGUGGGUGAGAAGUAUGCGGAAUGCGUGGUGUAGCGGUGAAAUGCAUAGAUAUCACGCAGAACUCCGAUUGCGAAGGCAGCAUACCGGCACCCAACUGACGCUGAAGCACGAAAGCGUGGGUAUCGAACAGGAUUAGAUACCCUGGUAGUCCACGCAGUAAACGAUGAAUACUAAUUGUUUGGCAAAAAUGAUUGCUGAGUGAUACAGCGAAAGCGUUAAGUAUUCCACCUGGGGAGUACGCCGGCAACGGUGAAACUCAAAGGAAUUGACGGGGGCCCGCACAAGCAGUGGAGUAUGUGGUUUAAUUCGAAGCAACGCGAAGAACCUUACCAGGUCUUGACAUCGAGUGAAUAACUAAGAGAUUAGUUAGUCCUUCGGGACACGAAGACAGGUGGUGCAUGGUUGUCGUCAGCUCGUGUCGUGAGAUGUUGGGUUAAGUCCCGCAACGAGCGCAACCCUUAUCAUUAGUUGCUACGCAAGAGCACUCUAGCGAGACUGCCGUUGACAAAACGGAGGAAGGCGGGGACGACGUCAAAUCAUCAUGCCCCUUAUGUCCUGGGCUACACACGUAAUACAAUGGUGGUAAACAGAGGGAAGCAAUACUGCGAAGUGGAGCAAAUCCCUAAAAGCCAUCUCAGUUCGGAUUGCAGGCUGCAACUCGCCUGCAUGAAGCUGGAAUCGCUAGUAAUCGCGGAUCAGCAUGCCGCGGUGAAUACGUUCCCGGGCCUUGCACACACCGCCCGUCA
rnacentral:rRNA from 1 species